CUCAGUUGCCAGGUCCAUCAGGCAUUGUUACUCAUGGGGGAGUAGCAUCUUCUGGUCAUUCACCUGGUCCUUCUAGGGCUGAAAGUGAACCAGUUUUGCGGCGGUCAGCAAGGACAACUGCAGGCCAGCAUUCUAAUAUUAACCGUCUUCCCAGACCAGCAGGUGAAGCUCCACAGGCUGUAAACUCUCCUGAUCCUACAGCCAACUCUAUUUUUGUCCUAUUUAGACCAUGGAAUUGAGUCGUCGGGACGACGACACAAAAGGGGGGGUAGAAUGUGGCAGGAAGAGGUAUAGGCUGCACCUGCUGGCGGGGUGAUUGCAAGUGGGCCAAUAGCGCCAGAGGGCGCUCAGUAUAAAAGUAGAGGUGAGCUCCAGUCUGACGUUGUUUGCUGUUGACACACCGCGCUUCCGGGUUGAGCUGUCUGUGCGCCGAGUACAGAAACGGACGGGCGUAUUUACCUCUACGUUGAUCGUGGGUGAGGUGGUUCCUUCAAAAAGUGCCAACAUUGAGCGUUCCCAUUUGGGUGCAAGUGUGGAGAGCUUGGCCUAAUUGGAAUUUCGACUGGUUGCCACACAUAACGCUGCUGCUUUGCCUGCACCAAGUCACCGCUUACUUAGUGGUUGCAAGAGAGAGACCGGCUGCCUGGGACACGCCCCCCCCCUUCCGGAAUCGAAACAAGGAGCGGCUGAUCGCAUUCAUUUCGGAUUGGAUUGGACUGGGUUGCUCAUUUUGCUGUGCCGUCGAACAUAGGGAUUUUAUGGGUUUAUUUUGACA